rnacentral:rRNA from 1 species
GAUGAACGCUGGCGGCGUGCCUAAUACAUGCAAGUCGAGCGAACAGACGAGGAGCUUGCUCCUUCGACGUUAGCGGCGGACGGGUGAGUAACACGUAGGUAACCUACCUAUAAGACUGGGAUAACUUCGGGAAACCGGAGCUAAUACCGGAUAAUAUUUCGAACCGCAUGGUUCUAUAGUGAAAGAUGGCUUUGCUAUCACUUAUAGAUGGACCUGCGCCGUAUUAGCUAGUUGGUAAGGUAACGGCUUACCAAGGCAACGAUACGUAGCCGACCUGAGAGGGUGAUCGGCCACACUGGAACUGAGACACGGUCCAGACUCCUACGGGAGGCAGCAGUAGGGAAUAUUACGCAAUGGGCGAAAGCCUGACGGAGCAACGCCGCGUGAGUGAUGAAGGUCUUCGGAUCGUAAAACUCUGUUAUUAGGGAAGAACAAACGUGUAAGUAACUGUGCACGUCUUGACGGUACCUAAUCAGAAAGCCACGGCUAACUACGUG